UUUUGUUUUGGGGGUGGCAGGUGGAGAGGAUCUGAGAGGCAGCCUGGAGGUAGUGGCUAAAACCCAGCCUACUCUUGUGUCUGUCAUUGAAAAUUGGGAGGGCGUGUUUCUCAGUUGAUGCUGAUUUAUGUGUAACUAAUAGAGUGACGGGGAAAAAAAAGGAAGCCCGGUUUCUAAUUUUAUCUUCGUGGCACUUUACUAAAAAGCCCCUCAAGGUGGCCGGAAGUUGGAAGCCCUCAAGGCUUGAAGCCCUGGACCAGCAUGCAAAGGUGCUGGGCACGGAGUGAGGGCCCCCGGAGAUGAGACACCGCACAGCUUCCCAUCUGGGUAUCUGGCUCUCAGUAGCUAUUAGGGUGUCUUCUCUCUGACUCCUCAUUUGCAUAAUGUCAUACCCAUAUGGUGUUAUUUUAUUUACCUCUUGAAGGGGGAUGACUACUUUAGAAAGAGAGGAAGCCAGAAGACUUGACCUGAAGGCUUCCUCUGUCCCUCUCGCCCUGCUACCCUCAAUCGUUUACUCUCGUCUUUGCCUCUCUUUCUCUGGCCAUCUUGACUUUUGUAAAUGAGGACCUUGCUUGAGUGAUAGGAUCCAUUUCUUCCAGUGAAUGGUUGCCAGGGGCGCUUGUCUUGUUGAAGGGUUUAUCCUGGCAACAUUUACAGCCGGUGGUGAAUUUAAGCGCGACCUACUCCCAUUUCUUCACGAUGGAGGAACCUUUGAAAGUUUAAGAAGUCUACCGUGGCUGAUUCUGCUCAGAUAGAUCAAGGGCUUGACUUACGUUCUGCUUUGCUAUUUUUCUGGGAUUUCUGAAAACAGACUUCUUCAAUUUUGCCAUGUUAGGUGUGAAUUUUGCAGUUUACACAUAGUUCCUUAGAGCUCUUCAAGACAGAGUUUGCAUCCUGUGUUGGGGGAUUCUUGUAAAGUGGAAUUAUUCUUCUCAUCAAACAUUCUGUACUACUCUAUGAUCCAAAGAAAUGCCCAGAUUCUUCUAGAAUGGGCCCACUAGUGAUGCCUGGAUUGAAUUAAAGCAGCUGAUUCUCAAGCCAAGUGGCCAGAAGUUGGGCAACUCUACUGGCUCAUCCUCUGUGCUGUAUGGAAGAAACCAAGAUAAUGACACUUUCCCAAGGCUGGGGCUGGCAGCUAAUGCGCUACCGAACACCCAAGUUGGUUCUCAGGAAAUACCAUUGUACCAAGUGACACGGUCAACUUGCACCAUUACCUCCUCAAGCCCAACCCUAUAUCUGAAUUCUGGGGAGGAGACAGGACUUAAGGCUAAAGUGGGAUCACAGGCAAGUGGGAUCCUUGAGCUUCUUCACAAUUUAAAGCCUGGUGCAGACACAGAUGAGCCAUUAACCUGGGGAGCCCCAUGUUGAAGAUGAUGGAGCCUUGAGAUGGAGGAACCCGUUUCCUGGAAUCAGGAAGAGGACCACGGCUGAUCGAUGCCACCCAUUUUGGCUUUUACAUUUGUGAAGAUUUCUACUGUUUGGGACAAUACACAUUCUUGAAAUCUGUUUAUAAUAGCAGAUAAUAAUACUUUAAUUAAUGUUAUCACUUAUUAAUAAAAGGAAGAUCAAAACCUAAAUUUCAAUUAACUCAUGUUUAUGAUGAGUUGAUUUCCAGGGGAUUAAAAUUUUCUUACAAUCACUGCCUAGAGUUGUCUCUCAGAUUGUAGAGUCAGUCAGUGCCCAUGCAGGGGGAGAGAUGGAGGUUCAGUAAGGUGGGAUCAAGGGCUUCCAAAGUUCUUAUGGCCUUUCCCAAGCCAUUCCCCAGCCAGAGAACUAAUGCCUGGAAUGGAAAGGAAUGAAUAUCACCUCUGUUUUUGACCUUUAUCUCUGUCAAAAUGUAAACCCUCCAUAUCACGUUAAGCUCUUAUUUAUUAUUUAAACUGUUGUGUACAAGAAGGGUCUAAAGAACAGACAAAACUAAUACUGGCCUCUAGAUAACAUCCAUGAAGUGCAUUGAGAUCCUGGAUAAAAUUCAGUGUCUUGUUCCUGAAUUAAAAAUAAAAAAGUAUUCUGAAAAAAGGACUGCCUUUAAGUAGAGAAUUGUAAGGUAGGAGGCACAAUUCUUCUCCUUCCCAUUGACUGCACACUGUGUUCUCUGGGUGCAUCAGCAGUGCACGUAUAAAUCAUCCCUUUGGCAUUUGGGAGCACAAUUUUGGAGAUCUGAGUCAAUAAUGUAGUCAGCUACCAGUU